rnacentral:rRNA from 1 species
AACCUCCGCAAUGCGAGCAAUCGCGACGGGGGGACCCCAAGUGCCACUUUAACGGGGUGGCUUUUAUGAAGUGCUUCAAGAUAAGGGCUGGCAAGACCGGUGCCAGCCGCCGCGGUAACACCGGCAGCUCAAGUGGUGGCCGUUUUUAUUGGGCCUAAAGCGUUCGUAGCCGGCCUGAUAAGUCUAUGGUGAAAUCCCAUAGCUUAACUGUGGGAAUGCUGGAGAUACUAUCAGGCUUGAGGUCGGGAAAGGUUAGGGGUACUCCCAGGGUAGGGGUGAAAUCCUGUAAUCCUGGGAGGACCACCUGUGGCGAAGGCGGCUAACUGGAACGACCUGACGGUGAGGGACGAAAGCCGAGGGGG